rnacentral:tRNA from 1 species
CAAAGGAUAGUUUAAUAAAAAUAUUAAUUUUGGAGAUUAAUGAUAAGGGAUGUCCUUUCCUUUGA